GAACGGUCCAGAUCUUCGGAUGCUGACGAGUAGGCGGACGGGUGAGUAAUGCGUAGGAAUCUGUCUUUUAGUGGGGGACAACCCAGGGAAACUUGGGCUAAUACCGCAUGAGCCCUGAGGGGGAAAGCGGGGGAUCUUCGGACCUCGCGCUAAGGGAAGAGCCUACGUCUGAUUAGCUAGUUGGUAGGGUAAAGGCCUACCAAGGCGACGAUCAGUAGCUGGUCUGAGAGGACGACCAGCCACACUGGGACUGAGACACGGCCCAGACUCCUACGGGAGGCAGCAGUGGGGAAUUUUUCGCAAUGGGGGCAACCCUGACGAAGCAAUGCCGCGUGGAUGAAGAAGGCCUUCGGGUUGUAAAGUCCUUUCGUGGGGGACGAAAAGGCGGGUCCUAAUACGAUCUGCUGUUGACGUGAACCCAAGAAGAAGCACCGGCUAACUCCGUGCCAGCAGCCGCGGUAAUACGGGGGGUGCAAGCGUUAAUCGGAAUCACUGGGCGUAAAGGGUGCGUAGGCGGUACGUUAGGUCUGUCGUGAAAUCCCCGGGCUCAACCUGGGAAUGGCGGUAGAAACCGGCGCACUAGAGUAUGGGAGAGGGUGGUGGAAUUCCAGGUGUAGCGGUGAAAUGCGUAGAGAUCUGGAGGAACAUCAGUGGCGAAGGCGGCCACCUGGCCCAAUACUGACGCUGAGGCACGAAAGCGUGGGGAGCAAACAGGAUUAGAUACCCUGGUAGUCCACGCCCUAAACGAUGAAUACUAGAUGUUUGGUACCUAGCGUACUGAGUGUCGUAGCUAACGCGAUAAGUAUUCGCCUGGGAAGUACGGCCGCAAGGCUAAAACUCAAGGAUUGACGGGGGCCCGCACAAGCGGUGGAGCAUGUGGCUUUAUUCGAUGCACGCGAGUACUUACCUGGCUCGACAUGUCCGGAUUCUGCAGAAGAUG
rnacentral:rRNA from 1 species